rnacentral:rRNA from 1 species
GUCUGCAGCCAUGCUACCCUGAACAAUCCCUAUCCUGUCUGAUUUUGGAAGCUAAGCAGGGUCGGGCCUGGUUAGUACUUGGACGGGAGAGACUACCUAGGAAGACUAGGUGCUGUAGGUG